ensembl:lncRNA
CACCUUCCUCAUUAAAGACUGUGCUCGUUCUCCCAGGAGACUCCUGCAACAUUACAACUCUUCUCCACAGGCAGACAGACACAGGAGUUACCAGGGAAGGUGACACCUCCGCCCCCACGGUGCAGAAGAGAUAUCCCGUUUCCGCUGUGUGAAUGACAGAUGGAUAUGCACUCAAUCCCACUCAUCUUUUAUUGUUUACUGACCAGAUAUUGAUUACCAGAUAAGUAUAUACACAACCAUCUUUCCCAUUUUCCUUUACAGGUCAAACCUGUACCAUCAUCCACAAUGUCCCAGCCAUGUGCCCCACCCUUUGCAAGAGCCGCCACCAACAACCAAAUCCCUUGUGUUCAUAUGGUUCUCCCAGCUCUCGAGGAAGCAAUCCCUCUGUCCUUUGUUUUCUGAUUCCCUAAGGUGUGUCGAGAUCAGGAGAUAACACCGACAUCCAGGCAGCCCCAUCCCCAUUUCCGCACCAGAUCCUCCCCCAAACACCCACCCCACCCUUGCCUACUUGUGCAUAUGCAGAGGAAGGAAGCUUCUCCACUGUGGCAGCAGCAAAACAUCACACUACAAAAGAGAUGCACACCUCUGACAGUAACCAUCAAGAAGGGCGUUGACAGAAUAAGGGCGGGAGACGAUGAUCUGAGAGGCUGAGAUCUGUGGAAGGAGGCAGAAGGGAAGAGAAAGGGUUUUCUUUUCUCUGUCUCCUUUUUCAUACCUUUUUUUUUUUUUGCAUUUUCCCAGGAUUCAUCAAGCUCCACUUGACACAUGUCUGACUGGGGUGGCGUUAAUCUCCCCAGAGGGUGGGUUCCCCUUUUCUCCUCUGCACGCUGCUGCUUUUCCCGUCAAUUUACAUUUCAAAACAGGCAAUGAGCCGAUCAAGGACGGUCACUAACGAUGAGGUCUUUCAUCAGUGGCUGGCGUGGUGUACAGAGAUAGUGUACGGCGAGGUUUCAUUGAUCAUAAGCAGGUGGGUGUGCGGUUGGGCAGUGGAUUGUGUGCUGCUGGGCUCCUGUCAUUGCUCUAUCCUAAGUUUGUCUCGAGGGGCGAGACGUCGCCGAGGGGGGGGAUGUGCCAGUGGGUCUCAAAGGAGAUUGUCUUUGUCAUACGGAACAUGGAAGUGAAUUAAUCAAAAGGAUUCCAACAUCUGCAAUCUCACUGAACCCAAAUGAAUCUAAUUUCUUUGAGAAGUUUUGGUAUUUGUCUUGGCCAUAAUAAAUAACUCAAUUACUGAUGUAAAUUUGAUUUGAAUUGAAUUAA